AGCUCCAAUAGCGUAUAUUAAAGUUGUUGCAGUUAAAAAGCUCGUAGUUGAACUUGUGCGUGCCCCUGAUGUCCUUUUUGGUACGUUUGGGGGCGUGCAUCCUUGGGUGGAACCUGUGUGGCAUUAGGUUGUCGUGCAGGGGAUGCUCAUCGUUUACUGUGAAAAAAUUAGAGUGUUCAAAGCAGGCUUAUGCCGUUGAAUAUAUUAGCAUGGAAUAAUAAGAUAGGACCUUGGUACUAUUUUGUUGGUUUGCGCACCGAGGUAAUGAUUAACAGGGACAGUUGGGGGUAUUCGUAUUCCAUUGUCAGAGGUGAAAUUCUUGGAUUUCUGGAAGACGAACUACUGCGAAAGCAUUUACCAAGGAUGUUUUCA
rnacentral:rRNA from 1 species